rnacentral:rRNA from 1 species
AUUGAUUUUAUGCUUGCAUAAAUGAUUUUUGGAUUCGGAGCGAGUGGCGAACUGGUGAGUAACACGUGGGUAACCUGCCCCGAAGCGGGGGAUAACAUUUGGAAACAAGUGCUAAUACCGCAUAAUUAGUUGGAACCGCAUGGUUCCAACUUGAAAGAUGGCUCUGCUAUCACUUUGGGAUGGACCCGCGCCGUAUUAGUUAGUUGGUGAGAUAAAAGCCCACCAAGACGAUGAUACGUAGCCGACCUGAGAGGGUAAUCGGCCACAUUGGGACUGAGACACGGCCCAGACUCCUACGGGAGGCAGCAGUAGGGAAUCUUCCACAAUGGACGAAAGUCUGAUGGAGCAACGCCGCGUGAGUGAUGAAGGUUUUCGGAUCGUAAAACUCUGUUGUUAAAGAAGAACAAGUGUUAGAGUAACUGUUAACACUUUGACGGUAUUUAACCAGAAAGCCACGGCUAACUACGUGCCAGCAGCCGCGGUAAUACGUAGGUGGCAAGCGUUGUCCGGAUUUAUUGGGCGUAAAGCGAGCGCAGGCGGUUUUGUAAGUCUGCUGUGAAAGCCCUCAGCUCAACUGAGGAAGUGCAGUGGAAACUACAAAACUUGAGUACAGAAGAGGAAAGUGGAACUCCAUGUGUAGCGGUGAAAUGCGUAGAUAUAUGGAAGAACACCAGUGGCGAAGGCGGCUUUCUGGUCUGUUACUGACGCUGAGGCUCGAAAGCAUGGGUAGCGGACAGGAUUAGAUACCCUGGUAGUCCAUGCCGUAAACGAUGAAUACUAGGUGUUGGAGGGUUUCCGCCCUUCAGUGCCGCAGCUAACGCAUUAAGUAUUCCGCCUGGGGAGUACGACCGCAAGGUUGAAACUCAAAGGAAUUGACGGGGGCCCGCACAAGUGGUGGAGCAUGUGGUUUAAUUCGAUGCUACGCGAAGAACCUUACCAGCUCUUGACAUCUUCUGCCAACCCAAGAGAUUGGGCGUUCCCUUCGGGGACAGAAUGACAGGUGGUGCAUGGUUGUCGUCAGCUCGUGUCGUGAGAUGUUGGGUUAAGUCCCGCAACGAGCGCAACCCUUAUUAUUAGUUGCCAGCAUUUAGUUGGGCACUCUAGUGAGACUGCCGGUGAUAAA